rnacentral:rRNA from 1 species
AAAAACAUGUCUUCUUGUUAAUAUUUUGAAGUCUGUCCUGCUCACUGAUUAAAUUUUGAAGAGCCGCGGUAUUUUGACCGUGCAAAGGUAGCAUAAUCAUUAGUCUCCUAAUUAGGGGCUGGUAUGAAUGGUUUGACGAGAAAUUAACUGUCUCUUAAUAAAUAUUAAAAUUUAACUUUUAAGUCAAAAGGCUUAAAUUUUCCUUAUGGACGAGAAGACCCUAUAGAGCUUUACAUAUUAUUUUUAUAUAUUUUUUGGAUUUUCUUUUUAUAUGGAAUGUUGAUGUUUUGUUGGGGUGACAUGAAGAAUAAAUAAACUCUUCAUUAUAAAAUCAUUAAUUUAUGUUUUGUUGAUCCAUAAUUUAUGAUCAUAAGAUUAAGUUACCUUAGGGAUAACAGCGUAAUCAUUUUCGAGAGUUCUUAUCAACAAAAUGGAUUGCGACCUCGAUGUUGGAUUAAGAUAAAUUUUGGGUGCAGAAGCUCAUAAAUUAGGUCUGUUCGACCUUUAAAUUCUUACGU